AUACAUCCCACCCAGAGAAACGAUCUCGCCUCAGAUGAUACUUGUCAUCUGUGAGACCACCCCUUUAGCUAGAGUUAACCACUUGAGCAGGUUUCAAUUUUGUCUCUGAAAGUAGGAAGCUAUCAGUCUCCCUACAUGACUCGUUCCACCCUUUGUGGAUACUUCUACCUGUAGAAAAAAAGGUUGGCAAACUUGGUGGCAUGGUGAGGACAAAGGGCAUUUUGAAAGAACCAGUGACUGAGGUCAGAGUGGGGAGCUGGUGUUAGCUGUGGGAUUCACUGCAGCGUCCUACCACAAAGGCAAAGAAGAUGAAAAUGCAGCGUGCAGUGCUGGGCUUGAUUCCCAAGUCGCAGUCGGGCUCCCGCUAUGGGUAGGAGGCUUUACACUCAGCCUGGGUCAGCACCGGAGCAUCCAGGCACUUCAGCUCGUCUGGGUAGUCAGCUGUGAGGAUCAGGAAGAGAUCAAAGAAAGUAGAAAUGUGGGUGAGGCCAGAGAAGGAGACAAUAAUCUGGGAUGGAACAUUGAAGAGGAACACUGCCUCUGGAGAGGACUCCAAAACAUGCAAGACAUUGUGAUUUUGACCUUGUUGGAUGCUGCACCUAAAGGUGGAUGGAAGAGGAAGAGUCUUGGGGGCUACCAUCCUGGCUGGAGAAGCUGGCACGAGGCUCCCUCUUGUGGAUGCAGCAAGGUCUAGGAAAUGGAGGCACAGUGAGAUAAAAUAAGUUGCUCAAAGCCAUAUGGCAAUUAAGACUUGAACUCUAAAAGGGUUUUAUUUUUAUUUUUAUUUAAUUAAUUAAUUUUUUUGAGACAGAGUCUUGCUCUGUUGCCCAGGCUGGUGUGCAGUGGCACAGUCACAACUCACUGCAGCCUCAACCACCUGAGCUCAAGGGAUCCUCCCAUCUCAGCCUCCCAAGUAGCUGGGACCACAGGAAGGUGCCACCAUGCAAGGCUAAUUUUUUAUUUUUAGUAGAGAUGGGGGUCUCACUAUGUUGCCGAGGCUGGUCUUGAACUCCUGGGCUCAAGCAGUUCUUCCAUCUCAGGCUCCCAAAGUGCUGGGGUUACAGGCUGUGCUCGGCCUGUUUUAUUAAUCUCUAAGUGCCCUGCAUCUGCUCUAAGGAGUGUGGCAUAGUCCUUGAUACUGGAUAACUGAGUAACGCAGGUAGUUUGUAUGAGAAGUGCAGUAACCACAUGGUGAAUGGAAGAUGAUGCUGUACACUUGCCCGGAGUUCACAGCUGGGACACUGCGGUUACCAGGACGCAGCUUCCAGAAUGGCUGACUAAAACUAGAAAAUGCAGACUCCACUGGGUCUUUGUGUUUCUGUUUUUUAAACGGGAAAAUUAAUUCUGCCAUUUACCUUCAAAGAGUUAGUGGGAGUGACAUAAAAUUGUUGAUAAAAAUCUUUGGAAGUCUCAGUGAGGGGAUCUGCUAUAAUGAAAUAAUGAAAUAAUUGAUGAAAUUAUUUUGUUCGUAAACAGUCUGAGGGCCAAGGGAAGAGAAGAGUGACAUAGAAUCUCCUUUCCUUGAGAUCUUAGAAUCACGCCUGCCUCCUUACCUCCAUCCAGGACUGUUAAAAAUCUCCCAAGGCAGAGACUUUUAGGCCUACAUGUACUUAGCCUCCUCUUCCCACCUCCUGUUCAUCUCUGUUUCCAAUGUUCCACUGCCAUCACUGCCAGGAAGUUCUGCAGAGAAGAAUGAAGAAGAACCGUAUGAUCCUAAACAUGUUCUUUGAAGAUAUUAUCAACCCACCAUUGGCCUUAUUUACUGGAAUGUUUUUAUAACCUUUAUUUGACACCUCUUCCCAUCAUUUAAAAUAAAUCUGGUGCUUCCCUGAAUAA